UACGUAGGGGGCUAGCGUUGUCCGGAAUCAUUGGGCGUAAAGAGCGUGUAGGCGGCCCGGUAAGUCCGCUGUAAAAGUCAAAGGCUCAACCUUUGAAUGUCAGUGGAUACUGCCGGGCUAGAGUCCGGAAGAGGCGAGUGGAACUCCUGGUGUAGCGGUGGAAUGCGCAGAUAUCAGGAGGAACACCGAUGGCGAAGGCAGCUCGCUGGGACGUUACUGACACUGAGGCGCGAAAGCGUGGGGAGCGAACAGG
rnacentral:rRNA from 1 species